CUGGAAACAUUAAAAUUCUGUAUCCUUCCGCAGGACAGACAGAACAGCAAACAUCUCCCACAAUGCUUCACUCCUGUUCUGGAGGGUCCGUCUCUAGAGGAGAGUGUAAUUCAAUACUCUGGCUCAAUCGCUGUGCACA
rnacentral:sRNA from 1 species